GAUGAACGCUGGCGGCGUGCCUAAUACAUGCAAGUCGAGCGAACGGACGAGAAGCUUGCUUCUCUGAUGUUAGCGGCGGACGGGUGAGUAACACGUGGAUAACCUACCUAUAAGACUGGGAUAACUUCGGGAAACCGGAGCUAAUACCGGAUAAUAUUUUGAACCGCAUGGUUCAAAAGUGAAAGACGGUCUUGCUGUCACUUAUAGAUGGAUCCGCGCUGCAUUAGCUAGUUGGUAAGGUAACGGCUUACCAAGGCAACGAUGCAUAGCCGACCUGAGAGGGUGAUCAGCCACACUGGAACUGAGACCCGGUCCAGACUCCUACGGGAGGCAGCAGUAGGGAAUCUUCAGCAAUGGGCGAAAGCCUGACGGAGCAACGCCGCGUGAGUGAUGAAGGUCUUCGGAUCGUAAAACUCUGUUAUUAGGGAAGAACAUAUGUGUAAGUAACUGUGCACAUCUUGACGGUACCUAAUCAGAAAGCCACGGCUAACUACGUG
rnacentral:rRNA from 1 species